UACGUAGGGUGCAAGCGUUGUCCGGAAUUAUUGGGCGUAAAGAGCUCGUAGGCGGUUUGUCGCGUCUGCUGUGAAAUCUCGGGGCUUAACUCCGAAACUGCAUUUGAUACUGGCGUGCUUGAGGACUGGAGAGGAGACUGGAAUUCAUGGUGUAGCAGUGAAAUGCGUAGAGAUCAUGAGGAAGACCAGUGGCGAAGGCGGGUCUCUGGACAGUUCCUGACACUGAGGCACGAAGGCCAGGGGAGCAAACGGG
rnacentral:rRNA from 1 species